CCAGACUCCUACGGGAGGCAGCAGUGGGGAAUAUUGGGCAAUGGGCGCAAGCCUGACCCAGCAACGCCGCGUGAAGGAAGAAGGCCCUCGGGUUGUAAACUUCUUUUGUCAGGGACGAAGCAAGUGACGGUACCUGACGAAUAAGCCACGGCUAACUACGUGCCAGCAGCCGCGGUAAUACGUAGGUGGCAAGCGUUAUCCGGAUUUACUGGGUGUAAAGGGCGUGUAGGCGGGGAAGCAAGUCAGAUGUGAAACCCAUGGGCUCAACCCAUGGCCUGCAUUUGAAACUGUAGUUCUUGAGUGAUGGAGAGGCAGGCGGAAUUCCGUGUGUAGCGGUGAAAUGCGUAGAUAUACGGAGGAACACCAGUGGCGAAGGCGGCCUGCUGGACAUUAACUGACGCUGAGGCGCGAAAGCGUGGGGAGCAAACAGGAUUAGAUACCCGUGUAA
rnacentral:rRNA from 1 species